rnacentral:lncRNA from 1 species
UCCAGGCAACAAAGGCUUCUUGGUAGGUUCCUGCAAUUUCUGACCUUCAUUAUCAGAUUCAGACUUUGACUUGUUAUGAUUCUUUUUACUCUUUGCAAGAGAAAAACCUUCAUCCUCUAAAGCAUCAUCAAAAUCAUCAUCAUCUUCGGAAGAUGCUGGUUGAUCAUCAUCAUCACUUCCGGAAGAAUCUGAGUCAGAAUGGGCAACCUCACCAUUCUGAACAGGUACAGACAUCCUCUAAAGCAUCAUCAAAAUCAUCAUCAUCUUCGGAAGAUGCUGGUUGAUCAUCAUCAUCACUUCCGGAAGAAUCUGAGUCAGAAUGGGCAACCUCACCAUUCUGAACAGGUACAGUUUCAUCACUUUUUUUAUCAGAUACAGUUACAGGUUCAUCACUCUUUUUAUCUGAUACAGUUACAGGUUCUUUAUCAGUCUCUUCUAUAACAUCUUCAAAG